rnacentral:tRNA from 1 species
GCUCCGGUGAUGUAAGACGUAGCAUUGCUGCCCGGAAAGCAGAAGGUGCGGGUUCGAGUCCCGUCUGGUGCA